UUAUACGAGAGUGUUGCAUCGAUUAGUUCGUAAAAGGGAUACUUGAUCAGCAAUAAUAAAAGUGUUAAAAAUAUCUUUUUUUAACACUUUUACUAUUGCUUACGAAGGUUCAUUUGUAACUCAAGUGUUUUAUAGUAAAUUAUCAAUUGUUUAUUUUGUGUGGCUAAUCAAUCAACACUAUUUUAAUGUGAAAUUAUAAUUGUUAGGAUUUAUUUGCUUUGGCGAUUAGGGCUUGUUAUUCGUAGGGAUUUAAACCUACAUGUCAAGUAAAGAGAACUAAUCUUACAACUAAUUUAGUUGCAUACUAAUUGACUAUGAGGAAAGCUUAUCGUAGCAAUUGGGGAUUGCAGCGAUUUUUAUCGAAUGUUGGGAAUAAUUUUAUUUGACAUAGCUUAUAACAUUUCGAUACCAAAUUUAAUUCUGAAUCCUUCGAAGCGUUUUUUUCUUGUUGAACAUCAACUCGAUCAGUUGCUGGAGGAGUGAUUACUGAUGAUGCGGGAGGAGAGGAUGGAACAAUGUAGCUACAACAAAACGACAACACAGAAAAGGAAAGGUGUAAAAGAUUGUGUAUUAGGCCACUUUCUGCAUAGUUUUAAGUUAUAUAUAUUGUUUAUUCGAAAGCAAGCUUAAUCUGUAAUCUGUAAAUCUGUAUUAGGACAUAAAAAAAAAUUCAACAUUAUGUAUUCCUACUGAAUGUACGAAAAUAGAAUGAUUUUGAUUUGA